rnacentral:snoRNA from 1 species
AGAAGCAGGGGGGAGCGUGGCCUAGGGUGAGGCUGUACACAUGCUGAGGUGUCAGUCACAUAGAAGGCAUGUGCAGGCCGAAUGUGCGCCAAUGUGUGAAUGUGGGUGUGGGGGGUGGAGGACUGGGGGGUAGCUGAGUGCGUGAACCCACNNNNNNNNNNNNNNNNNNNNCCCCCCCCCCCACGGCACAUUGAUCUUAUCUGAUCGUGCCAUGACGCAGCCCCGCCAGGCUGACCCAACAUGAAAAGCUCUCCUCCUGAAAAGUCCCUUCCUUGAGGUGCUGUGCAGUGAGGCCCUUUGGGUUUUGGCUGCCGCAGUCUAGGGAGUCCCAGGACUGGUCCUACAGGACUGGCGUGAUGAAUUGAUCAGAUAGAUGAGGCUGGACUUGUCCUGGGUCACUGAUUAUUGAGGCCCAGGA